rnacentral:rRNA from 1 species
UAAGGAAUAUUGCUCAAUGGGAGAAAUCCUGAAGCAGCAACGCCGCGUGGAGGAUGAAGGGUCUAUGACUUGUAAACUCCUGUAAAGAAGGAAAAAAUUCCCAUUAGAUGGGAGAUGAUGGUACUUCUGGAGUAAGCCCGGGCUAACUACGUGCCAGCAGCCGCGGUAAUACGUAGGGGGCAAGCGUUGUCCGGAUUUACUGGGUGUAAAGGGUGCUCAGGCGGAUUUGUAAGUCAGAGGUGAAAUCUUACAGCUUAACUGUGAAACUGCCUUUGAUACUGCAAGCCUAGAGUAUGGAAGAGAGUGAUGGAAUAUCUGGUGUAGCAGUGAAAUGCGUAGAUAUCAGAUAGAACACCAAUGGCGAAGGCAGUCACUUGGUCCAUUACUGACGCUAAAGCACGAAAGCGUGGGUAGCAAACA